rnacentral:rRNA from 1 species
AUUGAACGCUGGCGGCAUGCUUUACACAUGCAAGUCGAACGGUAACAGGCCGCAAGGUGCUGACGAGUGGCGAACGGGUGAGUAAUGCAUCGGAACGUGCCCAGUCGUGGGGGAUAACGCAGCGAAAGCUGUGCUAAUACCGCAUACGAUCUAUGGAUGAAAGCGGGGGACCGUAAGGCCUCGCGCGAUUGGAGCGGCCGAUGACAGAUUAGGUAGUUGGUGGGGUAAAGGCCCACCAAGCCAACGAUCUGUAGCUGGUCUGAGAGGACGACCAGCCACACUGGGACUGAGACACGGCCCAGACUCGUACGGGAGGCAGCAGUGGGGAAUUUUGGACAAUGGGGGCAAGCCUGAUUCAGCAAUGCCGCGUGCAGGAAGAAGGCCUUCGGGUUGUAAACUGCUUUUGUACGGAACGAAACGGUCUGGGUUAAUACCUCGGGCUAAUGACGGUACCGUAAGAAUAAGCACCGGCUAACUACGUGCCAGCCGCCGCCGUAA